GGGGUCCAGGCGUUUCUGAGAAGAGAGGCAGCCGCUUCCAGGAAGAAAGUGGUGUCUGCUGGCUGCGCGGCUUGAAGUACCUUUUUGUGACUGAAAGAGGACACAAUGCAAGGCAGUUUGCUGCUACAGUGAUUUAGAAGAAUAACACAGAGAGAAAGAGAGAGGGGGAGAGAGAGAGAAUAUCUCACCUUCCUUGCAAAGCCUGGCUUGUUGCAUCUUGCUGCUGCUGCUGCUCUUUCUACUGCUGCUCCUGCAGCCGCUGUUUCUGCCAUCAGGUAAGGCUUCCUUUUUUGAUAGGGGAUUGGAUCGUGUGUGAUCGCUUCAGGGUACACGAGCAGAAAUUCAUACAUGAUUAAUAAAGUGCUACUAGCAUAAUCAGAAGCUGAAGGAGGGAGGUUGCGCGCGGAUCUGGCCUCUGAAUUAGGAACUGGUCUGUGGUUUUGCUUUGGGAAACUUCGGUAAGUUCUAAACAAGUCUUGUCUGCAAAGCUAGAGUUAAAUUAAAAGGAGAGGGAAAGAAAUGUUUUAGCCACUAACGUACCUUAUUUGGCUUGGCUUAAUUUUCAAAGGAAAAUAGUGCCGGGUGUCCAACUAGUUAUAUUAUAAAAGGCUCUGGUGAUAUCUUUUGUACACAUAUUUUCAAAGUCUUUGGUAAAUAUGUCUCAGCUGCUUUUUAUUAACAUACAGUAAUACUCCUACCACCUUCUCCACUGUUUUUUUUAAGACAUGUAUGUUUUUAAACUUCAUUAAAAAUUAAACUGCUGUAAAGAAAUUUAAGUGUUUCAAUAGCUGGUCUCUCAGUAUACAGCCAUUUGAGUUUCCUACCACAAAACUAACAUGGGACAAGUGGAAGAGGUACAGAUUGGUAGAUCUGCUAUGGGUUAUAUAAUAGGCAUUUCAACAUUAUCGUAAUGAUGUGAAUCAUUUGGUGGUCCAUUUAAAAAGUAAGACAUAUGUAUAAUAUAGGGCAUGCUAGUAAAUCAAUUUUAAAGAGAUCUUCAGCAUUUUAUAAAUAUUUUUCUUUUUAAAUAUCUUUAUUUGUCUCUUUUUCCAUCUGAAUCACAGUGUUUUCAGAACGUUUGUAGUACAGAGUGCUUGAUGUCUCUUAGCUUAUAGAUAUAUUUCUCCGUGCUCCCUGGAGAGGGAACUGACAUACUUUUGGUUGAUUCUGUAACCAUGGGAUGAUUUUCAGUUUCUCAUCAGGCAUUUUGAAGCUCAUUCACAAACUGCUCAGCUAGAAAAUUACGUUACAUUCUGAGUAGGAAAAAAAUUAAAUGGAGUAGAUUUGGAAAAUGUGUUUACAGUUUUAAAUACAUGACCAAAACAUAAAAAUCCAACCAUGCCAAGCAGGUAUUUAGUUUGCUUGGUCUUUUCACCACACUGGAUCGGUUUUAAGACUAUAAAAUAAUAUCCAGAUUCACAGCUGCCCAGAAAUAUUGAACCUCAUCUUUCAGUAGCAUCACUUAUUUAUUAAACUAUCCUAGUAAGUUGAGAAUCAUUUCAAAUUUUAUGUUUUCAUUAUUAUUUCUAGAAAGGAAUUUAAAUGAAUACCUUUUAUGAUAAAUAUUUUCAUGAUUCCAAGAAAGUUCUCUUCAGAAUUAAAAGGCAGACAGUUACUUUCCUCAAGCCAUAGCAGUUGCUUGCUGAAUUGUUUUAGAAUGCUCAGGAGCAUAACCAUACACAAAGUAGGAGCUUUCCACUUACUAACUGGCAUAUCAGCUGGUUCAGUAACAAAAUCUGGGGACCAUUCCUCUACUUGCUAUAGAAACCACUGGAGUAAAAAGAGGUUUCAUAUUAAUUUGAAAAUCCAAUUCCAGAAUAUAUUUUACCCUUUAUUAAUAGCUCAUACCUAGAGGACUUACUUUCAAGUGUAACCUUGCCAGCGUUAAGCCCCUUCCCCAUUAAAGAAAAAAAUAAAUCCCAUUUUCUUUUCUGUUAUGUUCAGCAAAUCUCUGGUUGCUAGAUUCUUACCUUCUACUGCUAUGGACCAUUUUCAAGCAAGUAGGGGGGAGUUUUCAUGCCAAGAAUGCUUUUUUUCCUACUGGACCUCAUUCUUUCCUCUGUCCUGCUUAGUGAUGUGAUCAUUAUAGAUAACUCCUCCAAAAGGAGCUGAAGUAUUACGAGAAGGAGGGUGUUGUUUGUUCUCUAUGUGGGAUGAUACACAUAUUUAGUUCUUAUCACAGCAAAAACACUGCUUAGUUUAUGGAAAAAAAAUCCUAUUAAUGCUUCACAUUACAUACAUAUACCCCAGUAUAACUGCAUCCUUUAUGGAUAAGACACAAAAUUGGUAUCCUUAGAUUGAGCAUCUUUUGCAUCUGGUAUUUUGGCAGAAUGUGUUUCAUGUCUGUGAUAUUGGUUGAAAUCAAUCAUUUAUCAUGUAGUGGUUGGUAAGAAUAUCUGUCACUCCUACAUCUUAAAAUGCAUUGUGAUGAAUGUCAGAUCACUCUUGCUGAUGAAACAGAACAGCAGAUAGUCUACUUAAACUGUUUUUACAUGAAAUGUGAAACAUUACUGUUUUCAUACCUAUGCCAUUUAGACAUCAUGUCAUUAAAUCUAAUAAUUGCGAUAGGAAGAUACAUAGAGUGAUGGUUCUCCUCAAAAGUGAGCCAUAUUUUCUUGUGAAAGUAUCAAAUAUAAGAACUUGUAUAACAAAAUGACCUACUAGUAGACUCUGUUGUAAUUGCCUUUUUACUUCCAAAGGAAAAGUGUGAUUCCAGAUGUCUCAUUUAAGGUAAGAGUCUAUUAUUUUAGCCUUAUAACAAAUUAUAGCUCUUUUUAACUAAGUAUGUCCUGUAUUACCAUGUCAGUGUUACCAUAUGAUUAAAUAACAUUUUACUUAUAAUGUAGCACCAAUUCUUGAUUCUAUUUAUAUUAAGCUAUAGGUGGAAAUAAUUUCAUUCUUCCUGUUAAACAAAUACAGAGUUUUAUUUUUAUGAAUAGGUUCAAUUUAUUUGGAGAAAAAUAAACUUAAUUAUUUAAAUAAGGGAUGAAAAUCUAUGAUUUUUACUAAGAAUGUUCUUUUUAACUUUACUAAUAAAUGAAGAUUGAACAAUUUAUACCCUUAGCUUUUAAAAGCAUUUUAACUUUUGGUUUUAGGGCAAUUACAUUUUUUUCUGGAUUAUCAUCCUAAAAGUGUGAUGUAUCAUCGCCAAACUUCAGAAGGAAAAUAUGUGUAUGUGUGAAUGUGAGCAAUACUGCCUGUGUUGAAUAUCAAUAGUUUUUACUCAAAGUUAUUUUUAAGCAUCAUGUGAUGAGAUGACUAAUAAUAUGGAGUAACAUUUUUAGAAAAGACUAAGAGAAAAUUACAACUUUUGAAAAACUGAAUAACAGAUGAACCUCACAUAAUGUUAUUCUACUCUUUCUGAGAUCCUUGAUAAAUAUUGUAAGAAUUCAUUUAUGAAAUGAUUAAUUAUUAUUUAAUAAGCACCUGUUAAAUUAUUUCACAGUACUUGAAAGCAGGGAUUAUGUUUAUUUUUAUAAAUAUAGCUUCAUUUAGGUUUAUAUCACUCUAUCAUAUAUAGUUCAUGAAAUAAGGGAUAAAUUACAUCUUCACUAUGCUUUGAUUAUUUUUUUUACUAAAGGGUUAUGGUUUUCUUUCAUAACCCUUGCUCUGUAACUAAGUAAUUACUCUGUAAUCAUAUUUAUAUUACUUUGAAUAUGAAAUGUUUCAUUUGAACAAUGUAAACUUUUCCUUAAAAUAUGUACAUCUCAUGCAUAUACCUGUAAAGAUUUUAGUGAGGGCAGAUGAGGCCCUAAUCUGUGCACAGUUACUCAUUAAAGAAAUACAGGAUUUACAUGCAACUGCUACAUUUAAGUGUUCAAAUGGCUGAAGGAUGCAUUCUUGGUUCUAAGUACCAAAGAAGUAAUUAAACUUUAAGAGAUAUGUUGUGAAUGUAGACUUAUCCACAAAUUAGGAUGCUAGUUACAGGUGUCAUUGAUUACCUUAAUAUGUCCUAUAAUCAAUGGAUUCUGUAACUCACAUUUGCAUCAAAAUCACUAUAGCAUGUCAAAAUAUUUGUUUAUGUAAAGGUUAGAGUCAUGAUUGACUAUCUGCAUAAUGAUGUCAAAAGACCAUAACCUGAGUCAGACAAUGGAAUGGAAAUUUUGAGAAUUACUUUAAAGCCAUUUUUGGGAAAGUUAUUUAGCUUUCUUUGAUGCUUGUUUUUUUCUCUUGAUUUAGCAUAUUAUUCCACAGACACAAUGAUCUGAUGGUUAGGUCUUUUUCUUUUUAAACUUCUAUGACUAUAGCAAGCUAGAUUUGUGGAGAUUAACUGCAGCCAGGGCUAGUCUGCUGGGUUAAAGGAAAACAUGUGGUGGCCAGGAUUUGUUGUGUGCUGGAAUUUACUUGUUAUGUUGGGAUAGAAGUGGUUUCAGGUCACUUAUCUUAAAAAAAAAAAAAAGCCCAUUUAUUUUUGGCAAGAAUGCUUUUAGUGAAUAGGCAUGAAUGUUUCCGGUACUUUAAAAAAUCAGUGAAAAUUAGAUUACAAUGAAACUUUUACCACUAAAUAUCAAAAGGAGUAGAAGUCAAGGAAAGAGAACAGGAGGUAUCUAGAGAGAGAGGACAGAAUCAUGGGAAAUUUGUGGAGUUGUUUUCUUAUAGAUACUUGAGCAUGUGAAUAGAUCAGGUGAAAAUCUU
rnacentral:lncRNA from 1 species